rnacentral:rRNA from 1 species
CCUACGGGAGGCAGCAGUGGGGAAUAUUGCACAAUGGGGGAAACCCUGAUGCAGCGACGCCGCGUGAGUGAAGAAGUAAUUCGUUAUGUAAAGCUCUAUCAGCAGGGAAGAAAAUGACGGUACCUGAGUAAGAAGCCCCGUCUAACUACGUGCCAGCAGCCGCGGUAAUACGGAGGGGGCAAGCGUUAUCCGGAUUUACUGGGUGUAAGGGGAGCGUAGACGGCAGUGCAAGUCUGGAGUGAAAGGUGGGGGCUCAACCCUCGGACUGCUCUGGAAACUGUACGGCUGGAGUGCAGGAGAGGUAAGUGGAAUUCGUAGUGUAGCGGUGAAAUGCGUAGAUAUUAGGAGGAACACCAGUGGCGAAGGCGGCUUACUGGACUGUAACUGACGUUGAGGCUCGAAAGCGUGGGGAGCAAACAGGAUUAGAUACCCCGGAAGUC